rnacentral:rRNA from 1 species
AGAGUUUGAUCAUGGCUCAGAACGAACGCUGGCGGCAGGCUUAACACAUGCAAGUCGAACGCACCGCAAGGUGAGUGGCAGACGGGUGAGUAACGCGUGGGAACGUGCCCUUCAGUUCGGGAUAACCCAGGGAAACUUGGGCUAAUACCGGAUACGUGCGAGAGCAGAAAGAUUUAUCGCUGAAGGAUCGGCCCGCGUCUGAUUAGCUAGUUGGUGGGGUAAUGGCCCACCAAGGCGACGAUCAGUAGCUGGUCUGAGAGGAUGAUCAGCCACAUUGGGACUGAGACACGGCCCAAACUCCUACGGGAGGCAGCAGUGGGGAAUAUUGGACAAUGGGCGCAAGCCUGAUCCAGCCAUGCCGCGUGAGUGAUGAAGGCCUUAGGGUUGUAAAGCUCUUUCGCACGCGACGAUAAUGACGGUAGCGUGAGAAGAAGCCCCGGCUAACUUCGUGCCAGCAGCCGCGGUAAUACGAAGGGGGCUAGCGUUGUUCGGAAUCACUGGGCGUAAAGGGCGCGUAGGCGGCCUGAUAAGUCGGGGGUGAAAGCCUGUGGCUCAACCACAGAAUUGCCUUCGAUACUGUCGGGCUUGAGACCGGAAGAGGUAAGUGGAACUGCGAGUGUAGAGGUGAAAUUCGUAGAUAUUCGCAAGAACACCAGUGGCGAAGGCGGCUUACUGGUCCGGUUCUGACGCUGAGGCGCGAAAGCGUGGGGAGCAAACAGGAUUAGAUACCCUAGUAGUCC